GGGGAAAGGAAUGUAUGUAUAAGUGCCAAUCAUUUUACCAAGCUGUUAGUUCUUGAGGCUGAAUACCAGGAGCUGUUUUGGCAGCUAGUAUAAUAGAAGUAACAGGGAAUGGCAAGAGAAGGCUGUUCCAGUUUCUCUUUCUCUGACUACCCAGGAUUGAAAGAUGUUGUUUCAGCUGGAGAAUUUAAAACGGGUUCUUACUCACUUUUUGCUAAAAGAGACUGGGCUGCUUUCAGUGUUGUAAUCCAUAGGCAUGGAGAAGGGUCACCACCUGAUCUUGUUAAGGAGAUCAUGAGGUUAAAGCUGUGGCAGGGUCCUUUCUCAAAACUCUGGCUCUUCUCAGAAUAAUGUUUGGCCAGGUGUUAAUCUGUGUCCUGAGGGGAAGUUCUGGAAUUCGUUAUUCAUCCCUGGGGGUAGGGGUAGGAGGAGGAGUUGCCCUUCUGGGAGGGGACUGGGGCCAGGACCUGCCUCCUGCCUUUACUGACAUGUGCCAUUUGUGAUGAAGGCGGCUGAAGCCCAUUUGAGGAGUUCUCCUGUCAGCCAGCCAAGAGAGCAACCCAGAGGGAGAGAGAGAGGAGGGAGAGGCAGACUGCUCUGCAAGGCAGUCCUGGAGUGCAGUUUCCGGAGCGAUAUCGCACCGCGCUGUAGGCGCCAAGGGAAGGUGUAUAGGAACAUUAGGCGGAAGGAGGCCAGAUUAAUAGUGCAUUUUCCUGUGUCUUUGCCUUCAGCCCCUCCUUUGAAUACAUGUCAUCCUUUGGAAAACUCAGCAUCUGGAAGAAGCCUUUGCUGAAAAGCGGCUUUUUCUUCUGCAUUCUACUGUUUUUGUUUUUUCUCUUCCUCUUUUUAUUUUUAUUUUUUUCCUAUCUCCUUUUCCUCUGAGAGCAGGAGGUGAGACAAUGAUCAAGUCAAGCUGGUUCUAUGUUAAGUUCAAGUAUGCAGAGAAGCUCAAGCCAGGGCAGAACAGCUGCAGGGACAGUGACAGUGAGAGCGCCAGUGGAGAAUCCAAAGGCUUCCACAGGAGCAGCUCCCGGGAAAGGCUCAGCGACAGUUCAGCUCCUUCCAGCUUGGGAACAGGCUACUUCGCUGCAGUUCUGUAGCUUGGGUAACGGUCAGAGGAACUCUAAUGCCAGAACAAAUGAUGCUGCUAAACGGAAAGAGCAGGAGUCUUCUCUCUACAAAAUGCCUCACAAAGGAGACUUUCUUUGCUCCUCUUGGUACAUGUGGUAAGUAUAGAAAUAGUUUAUUAUGAAAGUCUUUCAGCCACAGGUCUUUCUAAGGCAUAACUGUACCCUCCAGGGAAACCAAAAUAAAUACCAGCCUAAUAAACUUCAGAUUUUUAAAAAUAAGUUAUCCUAUUGCAUUUCUGCAAGAAGGAAAAAUAUGAGAGGUUGACGUGUGUUCUUAUUCUGCUUUGAUUUACUUCCCAUGAUGUCCCUUCCCAACCCGGGCUUAAAGUAGAGGAAAAUACUUCACCAUUUGAAGAAGAAUGAUGGUACAAAAUCCAAUCUUUUGGAAAAGAAGGUGACUUUUCUUAAAACAAAACUCAUACACACACACUUGGUUUUCUCCUGGAGUUUGGUUUUACAUACUCACACACACACUCACACACUCACUCACUGUAUUUCUUCCAAAGGGAGUCUUCCAUCCAGGCUUUCAUUUAUUUGUUUCUAAUAUGGUUAUGGUCCACCUGGUCCUCUAGCAAGCUUUCUCUGCCCUUUCUGAGUGCCAGUCCUGAUCUCUCCUCCUCUCCAGUUCUUUCACUAAGGCCUUUGUUGUUGUUCAGUCAGGUCCAGCUCUUUGCAGUCCCAUGGACUGCUGCACACCAGACUUCUCUGUCCUUCACUAUCUCCCAAAGUUUGCUCAAACCCUUGGCUUCUCCUGUCUCCCUGCCCAGUCUGGGCCUUCUGUACGAACUGCAGCCUGCAUUCUGCCAGCCCUUCAGCUGCAUAAUGACUGUCACGUUCCAGCUCUAGGGUAUGUCAGUGGUCUGACUUCUAUGCUUUCUCCACUGCCCUUUCUCAACCUUUUAGACUAAUUACCUUGUCAUCUUUAUUUAUUAUUUUUCGCUGCACCACUCAGUGUAUGAGAUCUUAAUUCCCUAGGGCUCAAACCUGCACCUCCUACAUCAGAAGCUCAGAAUCUUAACCACUGGACCACCAGGGAAGUCCCUGUUGUUCAUAUCCUUAAAUGUGACUGGCCCCCCAAGAUUCUUCUGCCUGUUCAUUAUUAUUUUUGCUUUAUUUUGUUAAAGAUACGAGAAAUAAUCCAUAUCCAUGCACCCAUCUCCCAGCUUGAAAAGUAUAUCAUUUCCAGGACAGUUGAUGCCCCUGUUGUAAUUGUGAUCAUAUGCUCCUCUCAGAACCCAUGGGUAAUAACCACAAUUAUUCUGGAUUUGUUUAUGUUAUGAAUUUCUUUAUACAUAUAUCCUGUAGAUGUAAAUCAACAC
rnacentral:lncRNA from 1 species